UGUGAAUGUGUUUUGAAAGCAGCAUGUUGGCACUUGCCUUCUCUGUCAAUUUUUCUACAUUUCUUGGAGUACAUCACGACUGCAGCGACGAUCAACAGAGAUCCAGCAGCAGCAGAAACCAACACUUUGUGGAACAAAGGAGAGAGUCACGUGACCCAUGUUCACCGCCGAACACAACAACGAACAAGAUGAUGAUGAAGAUGAUGAUGAACAGUUUGAAGAGUUACUGCUGACAACAGGAACAGGAAGACGAGCUGAGAACAUACAAGUAAUUUACAAUCACAACCAAAGGCCUGGAAAAAGCAGAGACCUCAGCAGACGGAAAUAAUCCAAUCUGAAUUGCAGCAGUUGCUUUGUUAGCAAACAAAAGAUGCAACACAUCACGGCUGCAGCUACAAUCAAAAGAAGUCCAGCAGCAGCAGAGAUCAACACUAUGUGCAAUAAAGGUAGGCCUGGAAUCGACAAAUGAGUGAAUAUCUGAUCUGCA